rnacentral:rRNA from 1 species
ACCAACAGGGAUUGCCCUAGUAACGGCGAGUGAAGCGGCAACAGCUCAAAUUUGAAAUCUGGCUCUUUCAGAGUCCGAGUUGUAAUUUGCAGAGGGCGCUUUGGCUUUGGCAGCGGUCCAAGUUCCUUGGAACAGGACGUCACAGAGGGUGAGAAUCCCGUACGUGGUCGCUAGCUAUUGCCGUGUAAAGCCCCUUCGACGAGUCGAGUUGUUUGGGAAUGCAGCUCUAAAUGGGAGGUAAAUUUCUUCUAAAGCUAAAUAUUGGCCAGAGACCGAUAGCGCACAAGUAGAGUGAUCGAAAGAUGAAAAGCACUUUGGAAAGAGAGUCAAACAGCACGUGAAAUUGUUGAAAGGGAAGCGCUUGCAGCCAGACUUGCUUGCAGUUGCUCAUCCGGGCUUUUGCCCGGUGCACUCUUCUGCAGGCAGGCCAGCAUCAGUUUGGGCGGUGGGAUAAAGGUCUCUGUCACGUACCUUCCUUCGGGUUGGCCUUAUAGGGGAGACGCCAUACCACCAGCCUGGACUGAGGUCCGCGCAUCUGCUAGGAUGCUGGCGUAAUGGCUGUAAGCGGCCCGUCUUGAAACACGGACCAAGGAGUCUAACAUCUAUGCGAGUGUUUGGGUGUCAAGCCCGAGCGCGUAAUGAAAGUGAACGGAGGUGGGAACCCGCAAGGGUGCACCAUCGACCGAUCCUGAAGUUUACGGAAGGAUUUGAGUAAGAGCAUGGCUGUUGGGACCCGAAAGAUGGUGAACUAUGCUUGAAUAGGGUGAAGCCAGAGGAAACUCUGGUGGAGGCUCGCAGCGGUUCUGACGUGCAAAUCGAUCGUCAAAUUUGGGCAUAGGGGCGAAAGACUAAUCGAACU